UUUCUAUUAUUUGCAGUCAGUAACAAAGAUUCAGCCUUGUGUCCCUUCAUGCAACAAGGAGAAUCUUUGUCACUUAGUGUAAUUAAUAGCUGCAC
rnacentral:pre_miRNA from 13 species